rnacentral:rRNA from 1 species
CUACGGGCUGCUCCAGUGGGGAAUCUUGGACAAUGGGCGCAAGCCUGAUCCAGCCAUGCCGCGUGAGUGAUGAAGGCCUUAGGGUCGUAAAGCUCUUUCGCCAGGGAUGAUAAUGACAGUACCUGGUAAAGAAACCCCGGCUAACUCCGUGCCAGCAGCCGCGGUAAUACGGAGGGGGUUAGCGUUGUUCGGAAUUACUGGGCGUAAAGCGCGCGUAGGCGGACCAGAAAGUUGGGGGUGAAAUCCCGGGGCUCAACCCCGGAACGGCCUUCAAAACUCCUGGUCUUGAGUUCGCGAGAGGUGAGUGGAAUUCCGAGUGUAGAGGUGAAAUUCGUAGAUAUUCGGAGGAACACCAGUGGCGAAGGCGACUCACUGGCUCGAUACUGACGCUGAGGUGCGAAAGUGUGGGGAGCAAACAGGAUUAGAUACCCGUGUAGUC